rnacentral:misc_RNA from 1 species
UUUGGAUGAAUGAUAAACCAGAGACUCAUCUAGUGGUGUAUCACCCAUACGUCAGGGAUUUGAGAAAUCAUUGACCGAUAUUGCGCACCCGAUCUACACUUUUGCUCUAACAAAGGGCAAGCAUGGAUGAGGAGAGAAGAAAGGGAGGAAGGCAGCCCUUCUUCAGGUAGGGAUUGGAGAUUAUAGCAAUGAGUUAUCCGCAAUUCUUUAAGAGAUGUGAGGUGUAGAAGGCCCUUGUCCAAAAACUUCAGAUUCUCAAGA